UGGAUUAAUUAGGGGAAGAGAGGUCCCCAUGAACCCAUUUCACCUAGGUAAGGCUUGUACUAGAGGACCAUUAUAAGACAUAUUCAGGUGAUGGAGCAAAAAAAGUAUAUUUAAGAAAAAUUGUCUCAGAAUUAUAGGGAAUCCUUGCCUUGGGCAAAAGAGUUUUAUAAAUCCAUCUUAGGUUUACAUUUCUUUCUAUGAAGAGCUACAAUCUCAAUUUUCAAAUCAAAUGCUAAAUGAAUUCCAAAGUGUCAAUUACUUCUUUCAUCAGAAUCUACAUCAUCAAAGAUGCUUUAAAACCACCUUUCUCAAAGAUCAAGAAAAAUUUAGAGACAUCAUGGAUAAAAACUAAUCUUUUCUUAGGAGAAAUGGUUCAACCGAUAUAAGUGCAUAGGUGGAGAUCUGACCUAGAUAAAUUUGAUAAGCAUCAGUGCAAACGAUGAUCUGAAGGCCAUAAAAGCUGGAUCAGCUCAGCCUACAAUUGGAUCUGACUAAACAAAACCCUUAGACUGAAUAGAUGGGGAUUAGAUACAAACCAUAUAUAGAGAAGACACCAAUUCAACUUGGCUAUGUAUUUGGUGGGAUAAAUCAAAAUCUAAUUGCUCUGCGUAAUAAUAGUCCUUAAAGGAGCCAAAUCCACAAAAGAUUACAAAGUUUAUAAGCAGCCUAGAUAUGAAAACCCAAGAGGCCUUCUCAAGAG
rnacentral:lncRNA from 1 species